rnacentral:rRNA from 1 species
UCUGGUUAUUGCGAUGGAGGGACGGAGAAGGCUAGGCCAGCUUGGCGUUGGUUGUCCAAGUUUAAGGUGGUAGGCUGAGAUCUUAGGUAAAUCCGGGAUCUUAAGGCCGAGAGCUGAUGACGAGUUAACUUUUAGUUAACGAAGUGGUUGAUGCCAUGCUUCCAAGAAAAGCUUCUAAGCUUCAGGUAACCAGGAACCGUACCCCAAACCGACACAGGUGGUUGGGUAGAGAAUACCAAGGCGCUUGAGAGAACUCGGGUGAA